rnacentral:rRNA from 1 species
GAUGAACGCUGGCGGCGUGCCUAAUACAUGCAAGUCGAGCGAAGCGGGGACGGGUGAGUAACACGUGGCUAACCUCCUAUAAGACUGGGACAACUCCGGGAAAUCAGAGCUAAACCGGAUACUAACAGAAGCAACUGCGCUUGAGUAGCUAGUAGGUAAGGUAAGGGCUUACAAAGGCAACGAUGCAUAGCCGACCUGAGAGGAUGAUCGGCCACGAUGGAACAGAGACACUGUCCAAACUCCGACGAGAGGCAGCAGUAGGAAAUCUUCCGCAAUGGGCGGAAGCCUGACGAAGCAACGCAGCGUGAGUAAUGAAGGUCUUCGGAUCGUAAACCUCGGUUAUUAGGGAAGCGGUACCUAAUCAGAAAGCCACGGCUAGCUACGUGCCAGCCACCGCGGUAAUUC